rnacentral:siRNA from 1 species
AAAGUAGUUAUCGCUAAUGCCUA